rnacentral:rRNA from 1 species
UUCUGAUUAUUGAAAGGUGCUUGCAUCUUGAUUUAAUUUUGAACGAGUGGCGGACGGGUGAGUAACACGUGGGUAACCUGCCCUUAAGUGGGGGAUAACAUUUGGAAACAGAUGCUAAUACCGCAUAAAUCCAAGAACCGCAUGGUUCUUGGCUGAAAGAUGGCGUAAGCUAUCGCUUUUGGAUGGACCCGCGGCGUAUUAGCUAGUUGGUGAGGUAACGGCUCACCAAGGCAAUGAUACGUAGCCGAACUGAGAGGUUGAUCGGCCACAUUGGGACUGAGACACGGCCCAAACUCCUACGGGAGGCAGCAGUAGGGAAUCUUCCACAAUGGACGCAAGUCUGAUGGAGCAACGCCGCGUGAGUGAAGAAGGCUUUCGGGUCGUAAAACUCUGUUGUUGGAGAAGAAUGGUCGGCAGAGUAACUGUUGUCGGCGUGACGGUAUCCAACCAGAAAGCCACGGCUAACUACGUGCCAGCAGCCGCGGUAAUACGUAGGUGGCAAGCGUUAUCCGGAUUUAUUGGGCGUAAAGCGAGCGCAGGCGGUUUUUUAAGUCUGAUGUGAAAGCCCUCGGCUUAACCGAGGAAGUGCAUCGGAAACUGGGAAACUUGAGUGCAGAAGAGGACAGUGGAACUCCAUGUGUAGCGGUGAAAUGCGUAGAUAUAUGGAAGAACACCAGUGGCGAAGGCGGCUGUCUGGUCUGUAACUGACGCUGAGGCUCGAAAGCAUGGGUAGCGAACAGGAUUAGAUACCCUGGUAGUCCAUGCCGUAAACGAUGAAUGCUAGGUGUUGGAGGGUUUCCGCCCUUCAGUGCCGCAGCUAACGCAUUAAGCAUUCCGCCUGGGGAGUACGACCGCAAGGUUGAAACUCAAAGGAAUUGACGGGGGCCCGCACAAGCGGUGGAGCAUGUGGUUUAAUUCGAAGCAACGCGAAGAACCUUACCAGGUCUUGACAUCUUUUGAUCACCUGAGAGAUCAGGUUUCCCCUUCGGGGGCAAAAUGACAGGUGGUGCAUGGUUGUCGUCAGCUCGUGUCGUGAGAUGUUGGGUUAAGUCCCGCAACGAGCGCAACCCUUAUGACUAGUUGCCAGCAUUUAGUUGGGCACUCUAGUAAGACUGCCGGUGACAAACCGGAGGAAGGUGGGGAUGACGUCAAAUCAUCAUGCCCCUUAUGACCUGGGCUACACACGUGCUACAAUGGAUGGUACAACGAGUUGCGAGACCGCGAGGUCAAGCUAAUCUCUUAAAGCCAUUCUCAGUUCGGACUGUAGGCUGCAACUCGCCUACACGAAGUCGGAAUCGCUAGUAAUCGCGGAUCAGCACGCCGCGGUGAAUACGUUCCCGGGCCUUGUACACACCGCCCGUCACACCAUGAGAGUUUGUAACACCCGAAGCCGGUGGCGUAACCCUUUUAGGGAGCGAGCCGUCUAAGGUGGGACAAAUGAUUAGGGUGAAGUCGUAACAG